ensembl:lncRNA
UCACAAUCACAUCAACUCCUGCUGAAACACCCACAACUAGUGCAACAGAAACAUCUACUACAACAGAGAAUUCCACAAUAAAGACUCCUUCUGAAACAUCCAGAACUAGUGCAGCAGAAACAUCUACAACAACAGAGACUUCCACAACAAUGACAAUUGCUGAAACAUUAACCACUAGUGCAUCAGAAACAUCUACAACAACAGAGACUUCCACAAUCACUACUUCUGCUGAAAUAUCUACUAUCAGUGAAACAGAAAUAUCUACAACAAAAGAGUCUUCAACAAUAACGAUUCCUGCUGAAAAACCCACCCCUAGUGUAGCAGAAACAUCUAUAACAACAGAGACUGCUACAUUCACAUCUUCUCCUGCUGAAACACCCAACACUAGUGUAGCAGAAAUAUUUUCAACAACAGAGACUUCCACAAUCACAACAAUUCCUGCUGAAACCUCUACUAUCAGUGUAGCAGAAACAUCUACAACAACAGAGACUUCAACACUCACAACAACUGCAGCUGAAAUAUCCACUUUUAGUGUUGCAGAAACAUCUACAACAACAGAGAGUUUCACAAUCACUAUUCCUGCUGAAACAUCCACCUCUAAUGCAGCAGAAACAUUUACAACAACAGAGACUUCUACAAUAACUACUCCUGCUGAAACAUCCACCAGUAGUGCAGCAGAAACAUCUACUACAACAGAGACUUCCACAACAACGACUCCUGCUGAAACAUCCACUACUAGUGCAGCAGAAAAAUCUACUACAACAGAGACUUCCAUAAUCACUACUCCUGCUGAAAUAUCUACUAUCAGUGAAGCAGAAAUAUCUACAACAAAAGAGACUUCCACAAUCACGACAAUUCCUUCUGAAACAUCCACCACUAGUGCAGCAGAAACAUCUUUAACCACAGAGACUUCCACAAGCACAACAACUCCAGCUGUAAUAUCCACUAUCCGUGUAGCAGAAACAUCUACAACAACAGAGACUUCAACUAUCAAAUCAACUACACCUGAAAUAUCCACCCCUAGUGAAGCAGAAAUAUCUACUACAAAAGAGACAUCCACAAUCAUGACUCCUGCUGAAACAUCCUCCGUUAGUGUAGCAGAAACAUCUUCUACAACAGGGAAUUCCACAAUAAAGACUCCUGCUGAAACAUCCAGAACUAGUACAGCAGAAACAUCUGCAACCACAGAGACUUCCACAAUAACGACUCCCACUGAAACAUCCACCACUAGUAAAGCAGAAACAUCUACAUCAACAGAGACUUCCACAAUCACAACAACGGUGGCUGAAACAUCGACUAUAAGUGUAGCAGAAAAAUCUUCGACAACAGAGGCUUCCACAAUCACAACAAUUCCCACUGAAACAUCCAUCACUAGGGCAACAGAAACAUCUUCAACAUCAGAGACUUCCACAAUCACAACAAUUCCUGCUGAAACAUCCACUAUUAGUGCAGCAGAAACAUCUACAACAACAGACACAUCCACAAUCACAGCAACUCCUGCUAAAACAUCCCCCGCUAGUGCAACAGAAACAUCAUCAAUAACAAAGACUUCCACAAUCACUACUUCUGCUGAAAUAUCUACUAUCAGUGAAACAGAAAUAUCUACAACAAAAGAGUCUUCAACAAUAACGAUUCCUGCUGAAAAACCCACCCCUAGUGUAGCAGAAACAUCUAUAACAACAGAGACUGCUACAUUCACAUCUUCUCCUGCUGAAACACCCACCACUAGUGUAGCAGAAAUAUUUUCAACAACAGAGACUUCCACAAUCACAACAAUUCCUGCUGAAACCUCUACUAUCAGUGUAGCAGAAACAUCUACAACAAUGGAGACUUCCACAAUCACGACUCCUGCUGAAACAUCCACUAUUAGUGUAGUAGAAAUAUCUUCAACAACAGAGACUUCAACACUCACAACAACUGCAGCUGAAAUAUCCACUUUUAGUGUUGCAGAAACAUCUACAACAACAGAGAGUUUCACAAUCACUAUUCCUGCUGAAACAUCCACCUCUAAUGCAGCAGAAACAUCUUUAACAACAGAGACUUCCACAAUCCCAACAAUACCUGCUGAAACACCCACCACCAUUGCAAAAGAAACAUCUACUACACAGAUAUCCACCAUCACAACAAUUCCUGCUGAAACAUCCACCACUAGUGCAGCAGAAACAUCUACAACAACAGAGACUUCCAUAAUCACUACUCCUGCUGAAAUAUCUACUACUAGUGCUGCAGAAACAUUUACAACAACAGAGACUUCCACAAUCACAACAAUUCCUUCUGAAACAUCCACUAUCCGUGUAGCAGAAACAUCUACAACAACAGAGACUUCAACUAUCAAAUCAACUACACCUGAAAUAUCCACCCCUAGUGAAGCAGAAAUAUCUACUACAAAAGAGACAUCCACAAUCAUGACUCCUGCUGAAACAUCCUCCGUUAGUGUAGCAGAAACAUCUUCUACAACAGGGAAUUCCACAAUAAAGACUCCUGCUGAAACAUCCAGAACUAGUACAGCAGAAACAUCUGCAACCACAGAGACUUCCACAAUAACGACUCCUGCUGAAACAUCCACCACUAGUGUAGCAGAAAUAUCUUCAACAACAGAGACUUCCACAAUCACAACAAUUCCCACUGAAACAUCCAUCACUAGGGCAACAGAAACAUCUUCAACAUCAGAGACUUCCACAAUCACAACAAUUCCUGCUGAAACAUCCACCGCUAGUGCAACAGAAACAUCAUCAAUAACAAAGACUUCCACAAUCACAACAAUUUCAUCUGAAACAUCCAAUAUUAGUGUAGCAGGAAUAUCUUCAACAACAGAGACUUCCACAAUCAUAACAAGUCCAGUUGAAACAUCCACUUUUAUUUUAGCAGAAACAUCUACAACAACAGAGACAUCCACACUCACAGCCACUCCUGCUAAAACAUCCACCACUAGUGCAGCAGAAACAUCUACAACAACAGAGACUUCCACAAUCACAACUGCUUCUGAAACAUCCACUACUAGUGUAGCAGAAACAUCUACAACAAUGGAGCCUGUAUAUGAAGUGAAAAUAAAGCUGGAGUUCCGCUCUAAAGAUUCAUUCACUGAUGACCUCAAUGAUCGACAGUCUCCUGCUUUCAAAAUUAGGGCUACGCUCGUUCAAGAUAUUCUAACACUUCUUUUCAAGAAGUUUGAUUCCUUCCUUAGAGUCACUGUACUACUAUUCAGAAAGGGAUCGGUCAUUACCACAUCAGAACUCGCUUUCAACUCUACACAGAAUGUCCCAUCAGAACUCCAAAUUGCAGAAAAAUUACUGAGUGACAAUAAAACUCUCUAUGACCUGAACAUAACUUCUUUCUCAGUUAAUAAUACAG